UAGCUGAACGGUAAAGCGCUUGUCUUCCGAACGGAGGUCCCAGGUUCGAAUCCUGG
rnacentral:tRNA from 1 species